AGGACACCCAUCCUGCAGUCAUCAAUGAAGACUAAAAAACAUCAUUGCAAUCGAGCGCGUAGGCAAUGAGGUACUCGUGUGUUGUAUCGUGUUAAAUUAAAAUA